GCAUAUCAAUAAGCGGAGGAAAAGAAACCAACAGGGAUUGCCCUAGUAACGGCGAGUGAAGCGGCAACAGCUCAAAUUUGAAAUCUGGCUCUUUUAGAGUCCGAGUUGUAAUUUGCAGAGGGCGCUUUGGCGUUGGCAGCGGUCCAAGUUCUUUGGAACAGGACGUCACAGAGGGUGAGAAUCCCGUACGUGGUCGCUAGCCUUCGCCGUGUAAAGCCCCUUCGACGAGUCGAGUUGUUUGGGAAUGCAGCUCUAAAUGGGAGGUAAAUUUCUUCUAAAGCUAAAUACUGGCCAGAGACCGAUAGCGCACAAGUAGAGUGAUCGAAAGAUGAAAAGCACUUUGGAAAGAGAGUCAAAUAGCACGUGAAAUUGUUGAAAGGGAAGCGCUUGCAGCCAGACUUGCCUGUAGUUGCUUAUCCGGACUUUUGUCCGGUGCACUCUUCUGCGGGCAGGCCAGCAUCAGUUUGGGCGGUUGGAUAAAGGUCUCUGUCAUGUACCUCCUUUCGGGGAGGCCUUAUAGGGGAGACGACAUGCAACCAGCCUGGACUGAGGUCCGCGCAUCUGCUAGGAUGCUGGCGUAAUGGCUGUAAGCGGCCCGUCUUGAAACACGGACCAAGGAGUCUAACAUCUAUGCGAGUGUUUGGGUGUCAAGCCCAGACGCGUAAUGAAAGUGAACGGAGGUGGGAACCUUUUAGGUGCACCAUCGACCGAUCCUGAUGUCUUCGGAAGGAUUUGAGUAAGAGCAUGGCUGUUGGGACCCGAAAGAUGGUGAACUAUGCUUGAAUAGGGUGAAGCCAGAGGAAACUCUGGUGGAGGCUCGCAGCGGUUCUGACGUGCAAAUCGAUCGUCAAAUUUGGGCAUAGGGGCGAAAGACUAAUCGAACUAUCUAGUAGCUGGUUCCUGCCGA
rnacentral:rRNA from 2 species